AUUUAGCCCUGAUUGUAGUGGAAAUCCUGUCAUUGCGAAAGUAGAAGUAGUUUAUGAGAUUGCUUCGUCCCUCGCAAUGACAGAUUGAAACGAAAAGCAGGAAUUACG
rnacentral:sRNA from 1 species